rnacentral:rRNA from 1 species
UGCAGGAAACGCUUAGUGCUUAAGGAUGGGUCUGUAUGGUAUCAGCUUGUUGUGAGGUAAUGGCUCACCAAGGCUAUGACGCCUAACUGGUUUGAGAGGAUGAUCAGUCACACUGGAACUGAGACACGGUCCAGACUCCUACGGGAGGCAGCAGUGGGGAAUAUUGAACAAUGGACGAAAGUCUGAUGCAGCAACGCCGCGUGGAGGAUGACACAUUUCGGUGCGUAAACUCCUUUUAUAUAGGAAGAUAAUGACGGUACUAUAUGAAUAAGCACCGGCUAACUCCGUGCCAGCAGCCGCGGUAAUACGGAGGGUGCAAGCGUUACUCGGAAUCACUGGGCGUAAAGAGCGUGUAGGCAGGUAUAUAAGUCAGAAGUGAAAUCCAAUAGCUCAACUAUUGAACUGCUUUU